AGAGUCAUUUUAGAAAUAUAAAUAAUGUAUGAAAAACUGGGAUUCCUUAUGUUGCUAUUUUUCUUUGGUUAAAUAUAUAAAGAUAUGAAAUUAUAUUUGAAAAGAAUGAAAAAUGAUUGUGUAAGUGCUUAAUGCACUGAAACAUAUGUUCUUAACUUGUAAGUAGUGCACGGACUAUGACUUCACAUGGUACCAAUCCUAGUGGUAGGGUUGAAGAGUUUUUUGAAAAAUAUGAAAAAGAUUAGAAUUUGUCUAAACACUUCCCUUCCUGAUGUGCUCAAUUUUGCAAAAUAUGAUAAUCAGUUGAUAAAAAAAAUUUUGCAGACUAUCAAUCUGCAUCUGACCACACUUCUAUAUAAGAUAUUGCAAUAUUUAUGUGAGGAUUGUGGGGAGUCAAUGUCGUCAUGAUGGCUGUAAAAUUUGUCAUUCACACAUGGAUCCAUGAUGCUGAGGUUCAGGAUCAGAGACUGACAAACUACUUAUUAACAUAAACACAAGCCAUUCAUUUACAAAUAAGCAGUUAACGAUAAUAUAGCAAAAAGAAUAUAACAAAUAACAAUCAGUCUUACUUAAAUUACUUAAACCUAAUUUAAUUUGACGAAUAGUUUUUGUAAUUCAGGGUGGGCGGGAAGAACCAUUUCUAUAAGUUAACGGCAUGUAAAGAUCUAUAGCUCUGUAAAACAUACCAUAUACAAAAUCAAAUUUAUCCUGAAUAGAAUGUAUAGAUGAAUAAACA
rnacentral:lncRNA from 1 species